AGGAUUCCCCUAGUAGCGGCGAGCGAAGCGGGAAGAGCUCAAAUUUAUAAUCUGGCACCUUCGGUGUCCGAGUUGUAAUCUCUAGAAGUGUUUUCCGCGUUGGACCGCACACAAGUCUGUUGGAAUACAGCGGCAUAGUGGUGAAACCCCCGUAUAUGGUGCGGACGCCCAGCGCUUUGUGAUACACUUUCAAUGAGUCGAGUUGUUUGGGAAUGCAGCUCAAAUUGGGUGGUAAAUUCCAUCUAAAGCUAAAUAUUGGCGAGAGACCGAUAGCGAACAAGUACCGUGAGGGAAAGAUGAAAAGCACUUUGGAAAGAGAGUUAACAGUACGUGAAAUUGUUGGAAGGGAAACGCUUGAAGUCAGACUUGCUUGCCGGAGCUUGCUUCGGUUUGCAGGCCAGCAUCAGUUUUCCGGGGUGGAUAAUGACGGUUUGAAGGUAGCAGUCUCGGCUGUGUUAUAGCUUUCCGUUGGAUACAUCCUGGGGGACUGAGGAACGCAGCGUGCUUUUUGCGAAAGACUCGUCUUUUUCACGCUUAGGAUGCUGGUGGAAUGGCUUUAAACGACCCGUCUUGAAACACGGACCAAGGAGUCUAACAUGCUCGCGAGUAUUUGGGUGUCAAACCCGGAUGCGCAAUGAAAGUGAAUGUAGGUGGGAACCGCAAGGUGCACCAUCGACCGAUCUGGAUUUUUUAAGAUGGAUUUGAGUAAGAGCGCGUAUGUUGGGACCCGAAAGAUGGUGAACUAUGCCUGAAUAGGGCGAAGCCAGAGGAAACUCUGGUGGAGGCUCGUAGCGGUUCUGACGUGCAAAUCGAUCGUCAAAUUUGGGUAUAGGGGCGAAAGACUAAUCGAACCAUCUAGUAGCUGGUUCCUGCCGAAGUUUCCCUCAGGAUAGCAGAAACUCACAUCAGUUCUAUGAGGUAAAGCGAAUGAUUAGAGGCCUUGGGGUUGAAACAACCUUAACCUAUUCUCAAACUUUAAAUAUGUAGGAAGUCCUUGCUACUUAAUUGAGCGAGGACAUG
rnacentral:rRNA from 1 species